rnacentral:rRNA from 1 species
UGCGAAGGGGGCUAGCGUUGUUCGGAUUUACUGGGCGUAAAGCGCACGUAGGCGGAUUGUUAAGUCAGGGGUGAAAUCCUGGAGCUCAACUCCAGAACUGCCUUUGAUACUGGCAAUCUAGAGUCCGGAAGAGGUGAGUGGAACUCCUAGUGUAGAGGUGGAAUUCGUAGAUAUUAGGAAGAACACCAGUGGCGAAGGCGGCUCACUGGUCCGGUACUGACGCUGAGGUGCGAAAGCGUGGGGAGCAAACAGG